rnacentral:tRNA from 1 species
GCCGGUGUGUCGGAAUGGCAGACGAUGUGGACUCAAAAUCCAUUGGUAGUGAUACCGUGUGGGUUCGACCCCCACCACCGGCA